rnacentral:rRNA from 1 species
AUUGAACGCUGGCGGCAGGCCUAACACAUGCAAGUCGAGCGAGCGUCGGACGGGUGAGUAAUGUAUGGGGACUGCCCGAUAGAGGGGGAUCACUACUGGAAACGGUGGCUAAUACCGCAUACUAUCGGAUAACCCAUAUGGGAUUAGCUAGUAGGUGGGGUAAAGGCUAACCUAGGCGACGAUCUCUAGCUGGUCUGAGAGGAUGAUCAGCCACACUGGGAUUGAGACACGGCCCAGACUACUACGGAGGCAGCAGUGGGGAAUAUUGCACAAUGGGCGCAAGCCUGAUGCAGCCAUGCCGCGUGUAUGAAGAAGGCCUUAGGGUUGUAAAGUACUUUCAGCGGGGAGGCGUUACCAGCAGAAGAAGCACCGGCUAACUCCGUGCCAGCCGCCGCGGUAAUUC